CGCGUAGGUGGUUGCGUCAGUCGGAUGUGAAAUCCCCAGGCUUAACCUGGGAACUGCAUCCGAUACUGCGUGACUCGAGUGCAGCAGAGGGAAACGGAAUUCCUGGUGUAGAGGUGAAAUUCGUAGAUAUCAGGAGGAACACCGGUGGCGAAGGCGGUUUCCUGGGCUGACACUGACACUGAGGCGCGAAAGCGUGGGUAGCAAACAGGAUUAGAUACCCUGGUAGUCCACGCUGUAAACGGUGAGUGCUGGGCGUGGGAGGUGUAAUGCCUUCUGUGCCGAAGCUAACGCGUUAAGCACUCCGCCUGGGGAGUACGGCCGCAAGGUUGAA
rnacentral:rRNA from 1 species